GGCCGCCGUCUUGGCCAUGGUGCCCCACUCGGCCCCUCACCAGAGCCCGGUGAAGGAUCAGCCCGAACCUAGGAUGCGCUCUGGGAACAAGCAGAAGUGACCAGCCGAGGAAGGUCCUAAAGUCAAUCAUAUCUUCAGAUACUGAAGCACCUUGAACAUUCCAGAGUCGUUUCAAAAAUUAAAUAAUCAUAGAAAAAUUAAAUAAUCAAGUGCACCAUAAUGAAAUUUCAUUCAUCGGGCUUGGACUCUGGACAUUUGGACAGUUUCUACAAGCCACAAUUCUCAAAGGAGAAGCAUCAAUAAGAGUCUCAUGCAGCCCACGUCGGCUUCAAACUCACGACAGAGCUGAGGAUGAGCUUGGAUUCCUCGCUCCCCUGUCUCCACCCAAGUGCGAGGAUCACAGCCCGCACCACCACACUCUCAAACGUUAGUUUAACCUCAUCCAGUAUUACUGUUUCAGUCUCUGUUAACAGAGUCCUCAGCACAAUGAAUUCUGAUCCACCAAGGUAAAGAAUCUAAUGAACACCCAAGAGGUUUCCUCAAAAUCCACUGAGACCCUCAGGAAACUGGCAAGGCCCAGACAGAAGAAGCAAGGACUGUCCCUGAGCAGGGUUCCGAGCACUGGUGAGGAGGAGAGAGCUACAGACAGACAGACUGACAGUGGCCAGGCCAGGCCUACAGCAGAACCAAAAAUGACAGAACUGUUUGGGAAUCACCUCCAAACUCUGACAGCGGAAGGCGCACACAGUCCAGCUCUCCCCCGUUCAAGUUACAACUGCAGGGCCCCUGUGUGUUCUUACACUCACUCUUCCCUGUCUCUUCCGUACACCAGGGGUGGGGGCUCCUGAAGCCAAUGCUCCUCUGAUACAUUACGUUUUCCUUACAAUGGAUACGGCACGUUUUAGUCUAACAAGUCUGGUGAUCAAGAAAGGGUAGGCAACGAUCAGUGUUGUGAGUGAGGGCACAAAGGGUAAUGAAAAGCUGAUCAGAAAACCAGCGCAAGGCUUAGGACUAGUGUUGGUGUGAGGCCAGAGACUAUGUGGACGUUUCCCUGGUACCAGGCCUGCUCCAAAGACGAACUAACCUCUACUGGAGAGCUACAGAACCCACAGCAUUAGGCAUGGCCCUUACCAGCAACAGUCAGGUAGCCAUGCCUGCAAGCCAGUUUAACAGGUACACGAGUUUAUUUUCAUUUAAAAUUCAGUGAAUUAGCCAGGCAUGGGAGGCAGAGGUAUAUGUAUCUGGGGCCAGCCUCUCUACAUAGUGAGUUUCAGGCCAGCCAGGGUAUAUAGUGAGAUCUUAUCUCAAGCAAAAAUUAAAAAAAAAAAAAAAAAAAAAAAAUCAAUAAAUUAAAAGUAGCGAGCCAGGCAGGAUGGCUCACUGGAGAAAAAUACUUGCCACCAAGUCUAAUGUCCUGAGUUCAAUGCCCAGGUUACACAAGGUGGGACAAAGACCCAGCUCCUGCAAGUUCUCCUGUGACUUCCAUGUGGGCCACAGCCCACGAGCACACAUCAAAAUAAGUGUACAAAAAAGUAGCAAUAAACAUUACACUUGUAUCACUAUAAUACAGCUCCUAAAUAAUUAAGACAAUGCUCAAACCUGGAAUUUGCUCCCGCUUUCCUCGGGGUGUGAGCCUAUCACCGGAGGGGUAAACAAUUCAUGUCUGUGUGUCCUCUGUAAGAAAGAGAGAGCCUUAUGAAUCA